UCCGGUUUGGCACCGGCAGUCCUCCCAGAGUCCUCAGCAUUACCUGGUAGCAACUGGGAGCGGGGGUUGCGCUCGUUGCGGGACUUAACCCGACAUCUCACGACACGAGCUGAUGACAGCCAUGCAGCACCUGUGGCAGGUUCCGGACUGGGUACCGUUGGGCGGCCGUUUCCGGCGCCUACUUCCUGCCGCUUUCGCACAUGUCAAGCCCAGGAUAAGGUUCUUCGCGUAGCCUCGAAUUAAGCCACAUGCUCCACCGCUUGUGUGAGCCCCCGUCAAUUCCUUUGAGUUUCAGCCUUGCGGCCGUACUCCCCAGGCGGGGCACUUAAUGCGUUAGCGCCGGCACCCAGGGGGUCGCUCCCCCAGGCACCUAGUGCCCAUCGUUUACGGCGUGGACUAC
rnacentral:misc_RNA from 1 species